GCACAUAUUAAGCCUAGAAUGUGCUAGCCAAUGUGGUGCUGGACUGACGUGGCUCAUGGAUCUCAUGGUGGGAACUACAUAGAGCAGACUUAUGAGAAAAGCCAGCUGGGGCUCCAGGAGUGUCGCGGAGCAAAGAGAGGACCAGUGAAUAACUCUGGAUGGCAGACAAAUCAUAGGGUGGAGAGAAAGGAGUAGAAGGCUUCAAUGAUGAUACCCUGUUUCCAUCAAUGACAGAACAGGAAAUAACCACUUGGCCCUGUUUCUCGUGGUUUCACAUGUACCAGAAUGUCCUAGAGAAAUACAACCCAUUACAAACCUCAGAAUGUCAGGGGAAGAUGGAUGGCCUUGAAUACUUUGAACGAUGUAAAUUGAACAGCGUAUAGAAUAUCUUACAUUGUUGCCAGAUCCUUUAUGAACACUGAGAUUGUUAGAGCUGCAAAUAAAGUAGAAUAAAAUGUUGAAGUGGCUUAUGUUGAAGUCUGCUGAUAGACAACACAAAGACAAUGACAAUAUUUAUUUGCAUCCAUUAAAAAAUAUGAAUCUGAGCAUUUUUAAAGAUCACAUCAAACUUGAGAGAAAGACUACCUCAAGAGACAGAAGAAAUAGAAGACAUGGACACUGCCUCUUAAGAACAUAAAAU